rnacentral:rRNA from 1 species
GAGUUUGAUCCUGGCUCAGAUUGAACGCUGGCGGCAUGCUUUACACAUGCAAGUCGAACGGCAGCACAGGGAGCUUGCUCCUGGGUGGCGAGUGGCGAACGGGUGAGUAAUGUAUCGGAACGUGCCUGGUAGUGGGGGAUAACCACUCGAAAGAGUGGCUAAUACCGCAUGAGAUCUCUGGAUGAAAGCGGGGGACCUUUGGGCCUCGCGCUACUGGAGCGGCCGAUAUCAGAUUAGGUUGUUGGUGGGGUAAAGGCCUACCAAGCCUGCGAUCUGUAGCUGGUCUGAGAGGACGACCAGCCACACUGGGACUGAGACACGGCCCAGACUCCUACGGGAGGCAGCAGUGGGGAAUUUUGGACAAUGGGCGCAAGCCUGAUCCAGCAAUGCCGCGUGCAGGACGAAGGCCUUCGGGUUGUAAACUGCUUUUGUACAGAACGAAAAGUCUCUGGCUAAUAUCUAGGGG